GUCCACGCCGUAAACGAUGUCAACUAGCCGUUGGGAGUCUUGAACUCUUAGUGGCGCAGCUAACGCAUUAAGUUGACCGCCUGGGGAGUACGGCCGCAAAGUUAAAACUCAAAUGAAUUGACGGGGCCCGCACAAGCGGUGGAGCAUGUGGUUUAAUUCGAAGCAACGCGAAGAACCUUACCAGGCCUUGACAUCCAAUGAACUUUCCAGAGAUGGAUUGGUGCCUUCGGGAACAUUGAGACAGGUGCUGCAUGGCUGUCGU
rnacentral:rRNA from 1 species